CUUUCAUAUAUCGUAAUAAAAAAAAUACCAGUAAUUGCGGAAUCGAUAACAACGUUAACAACCGCAAGUUACAAAAUUGCGGGUGGUUUUCUUUUUUUGUAAAAAAUCAAAAACUUUUUGAGUCGUCAAAACUAUGGGUAUACGGUUUUGUAAGGAGAUACCCAUUAUUUAUAGAUAUGAAACCAAUAUGAAUCGUUCCCAAUUUAAUUGCGGUCUUUAUAAAUAAUUGCGUUACCACCAAAUUUGCUGUAAUUAAUUAGUUAUUAAUUAAUUUUAUUUUGGCGAUAAAUUUGUCCAUUCCAUAGUCCGCGUUCCGGCUGUCCGAUUGGUUCUGCGCAUGACUCGAAGUCGAAGGAGCAGACAGCAGUACACAAUUUAAAUUCGCGUUACCACGUAACCUCAAAUUAAUUGUAAAUAAAGCUAACGCUUGUGAAUCGUGCUUCUAACAACGCUGAAGAAUAAUGGAUCAGAUAAAUAUCAAAGUUUUAAAAUAAUCGAACGUAAAGAAAAGCAAGAAUAAUUUACUUUGUUUUUCUUUUAUUAUUUUUACAGGCAACAGUGAUAAAUAGGAUUUGUGCAAUGGUAGUAACAAAUCAUCAUCUGUUGAAAAUGGCACUCAAGCAAAAUUGUGCAUUGAUUCUGAUCUUAAUAACAUCAGCCACAAUAUAGAAAACCCUCUAUAGUUUUCUACUUAUUCUCCGGACAAGUUAUGGAUGGCGAAUGUGAAAAGGUUACAAUUUACAAUUUGGUGGCUUAUUAAGAGAAUCAGUUAUCAAUGAAAUUAAUUUUGAUGAUGUUAAUUCACAAUGCCAAACGACAAACUCCAUUUGUCCAAAGAAUAAGCACAUCCAAUGCGAUAUACACUCCUCUGACAUGGCAGCAGGGAGAUCCAAGAAGAUCAUAUACCACAGAUAUUGAAAUGAGCAAAAUCUGAACCUGACUUUACGAUGACUAACUAACAAUUAUUUUUCAUAUUUAUACUUUUUACUAUAUUUAUAUUUAUACUAUUUAUACUUAUGUUAUUUUCAACUAUUUAUAGUCACCAGCUGUACCUGCAAGUUCCAAUGGUGGUACUGGAAUAAUAACAAAAGAACAUACAAGAGCAUCUCUUUUAUCCGAGCUUUUGUCAAUCAUAGGAGAUACAAACUACAACUACGACGACUAACAACUAUAUGAUAACCAAUCUAUUGAGGGUGAUGAUACUGUUACUACAGUUUCUCCAUUAUACAAACAAAUGCUGAAUGUUUUUGUGGAGAAAGCUGCUAUUGAAGAUGCAAUUUACUAUCUUGCUGAAGGAUUGCGAAGCAGCACAAUUGAUUUGGAUGCUUUCCUCAAACAAAUCAGGCACCUAUCGAGAAGACAAUUCAUACUCAGGGCACUCGUGUCUGCACUUUGAAAGCAGAAAGCUGGAUUAGCAAAUUAAAAAAAAAGAAAGAUCCUUUCACAUUAUUAUUUUAUUUUUCAAAAUGUAUCAAAGUUUGCUGAUACACGUCUAUAGUAUCAUCCUCAUCCAUCUGUAUAACAUAGAAGUCCAGUUCAUGAACAGGUUGACUGACCAUCAAACCAGAAUCGCACUGCAGUAAUUGCAAGUUGUCUGCAAUUGCUUGUUCAUAAAGUGUUUGGGAUAAAUUAAAUCCUGCGUAAGUAAUCAAUUGGAAUUCCUAGACUAUGGUUGUAGUUGAUCAAAAAUUUGAAAAUCCAAAAAACUAUUUUUCUAAUUGAGAAGUUAUAAAAAGGUGAAACAAAAUGCGUUAAAAAACUUAUAUUUUGUAAUCCACAGCAGUUUGUGGUCGAUGCGUGAUCUUGGUAUUUUGUAUCUUUUUUUUUCAUAUUUAUUGAAAAGAAUUAUUUAUAUAUUACGUU
rnacentral:lncRNA from 1 species